rnacentral:rRNA from 1 species
AACGAACGCUGGCGGCAUGCCUAACACAUGCAAGUCGAACGAAGGCUUCGGCCUUAGUGGCGCACGGGUGCGUAACGCGUGGGAAUCUGCCCUUGGGUUCGGAAUAACAGUGGGAAACCGCUGCUAAUACCGGAUGAUGACGUAAGUCCAAAGAUUUAUCGCGCAAGGAUGAGCCCGCGUAGGAUAAGCUAGUUGGUGGGGUAAUGGCACACGAAGGCGACGAUCAUUAGCUGGUCUGAGAGGAUGAUCAGCCACACUGGGACUGGGACACGGCCCAGACUCCUACGGGAGGCAGCAGUGGGGAAUAUUGGACAAUGGGCGAAAGCCUGAUCCAGCAAUGCCGCGUGAGUAAUUAAGGCCUUAGGGUUGUAAAGCUCUUUUACCCGGGAUGAUAAUGACAGUACCGGGAGAAUAAGCUCCGGCUAACUCCGUGCCAGCCGCCGCAGUAAGAC